rnacentral:lncRNA from 1 species
UCCUUUCAUUUCUUAGUGUUAAACUCGUGGUUCGUUAUUCAUUAACCUUUAUGAAUGAUGGUUUUUAUCCAUUUUGUAGACCCAUAGUCUCAAGCCUGCAUGACUGUUUCUUAUUUUUUAGGUCAUCACAGGUGGUAGCAAACAUCAUGGGGGAUUAACUUAUAGUCAGAGGGCGUUUACAUAUGUUCAUAUCCUUGUAAGCGAUAUAAAUAGUUUAUUAGACUAUUUAUUAGUUGUAACAACUUAAGGAUAUGCUAAAUUAUGGGUCGUUGUAUGCAUUUCUAGCUGAAACGUAUCAUUUUAAUUAUAAACCAUAUAUUAUGAUGUAUUCGAUAUAAUUUUUAAUUAUCUUUAUCUCACUGCAUCCUUUAAUGGAGAUGUUCCUCUUCUGUUAUGAGAAAGCAGAUGAAAAUCCUUGGUUUCUGAGCUCUGAGUACUAUCAAUUGCUCUUUAGGCAGUGAAAAAAAGGAAACUUGCCACAAACACCAAAAUUUCUCUUUUUUUCAUUACUGCUUUCCUUUCUUCGGUUUUUAGAGUUCCAAGAAAUGAUUACGCAAUAAGGCCUAAUAUUCAUUCAUGAAAAAAAAGAAAAUACUUUUUAUAACUCAAAAGAUGAAUCAGUUUACUAGGUCAUCAAUUCAAGAUAUGUCUUCUUCUUAAAAUGAUGAUUGUGAUGCUUUUUAGUUUCCAUCACUAGAGGAGAGAGUCAGAACAUUGCUAGAUAGCUUAAAACUCUACAUAUUCGGGAAAUCAAAAUGAAGAAGAGCGCAAACAUUGAAAUGAAAAAUAUUACCAAAAAUUGAAGACAGGGCAAAAAGUGUACGAAUCCACAGAAUCGAACUGCUCUCCUCAAUGGUUGAUACAGUAGAUUUAAUAUACUACGUCUUUUUUUUACGGAGUAGUUAUUAUUAUGAUAAUUGCAUGUUGCUGUGGAAAUGGUAAUAAGGACGAGGACACCCCGGAUUCAAGAGAACAGGAGCCACUUCAAUCCGGGAGAGAACAAGCUAGCAUGUCUGGCCAAGGAAGUGUAAUACCGGGAUUUGAUAACACGCUAGGUUGGGACGUAACUCAUGCUGUGUAAAUGGUUACUAUCAACGAAAAUUAAACAACGUAUUUUCUCCUAUAUUAGGAGCCUCAACUAAUGCUUUGUAUACAUUCAUAAUUUCGCUGAUCGCUUUAUUAUUGUCUAUUUUUUAUUUUUUUUUCUUAUUUUUGUACUUAAAAAAUUAAAUAAGAAUUAUGGAUCCAUAGCUAAUGCUGACUCCAUUUGAUGCUCUUUAUAUCAAUGCCAUCUUGAAACAUUUCCCAUAGGGGUGACAUCUCACGGAGUGUUUCGACCUCCUUUAUGCACAUUUUUGUUGUAUAAUCAAUUUCUUCUUCUGUCGUAAACCUUCCAAUGCCAAACCUGUCCAAAGACAUAUGUUUAAAUAUCAACAUAAAUUAUAUAUACAGAAAGAAGUGAACGAACCUAAUGGAUGAAUGAGCCAAAUCUUCAUCGGCUCCAAUUGCUCUGAGAACAUAGGAGGGCUCAAGACUUGCAGAAGUACAAGCUGAGCCAGAACUUAGCGCUACUUCUUUGAGAGCCAUUAGAAGAGAUUCGCCCUCAACAUACGCAAAGGACAGAUUUACACAGCCAGGAUAAUUUAAUACAGGAUCUCCAUUAAAAACCACAUAGGGAAGAGCAUUGCUUAUACCAUCAACUAGUUUUUUACUGAGCCGACAGAUCCUUUGAUGAUCAUAUUCCAUUUCCUUUGCAGCUAUUUCACAUGCAGCUCCAAGUCCAACAAUGAGUGGAGUGGGUCCAGUACCUGAGCGUAGUCCUCUUUCUUGACCUCCACCGGAUUGAAUAGGUUCCACUCGAACCCGGGGACGUCUUCGGACGUAAAGCGCUCCGAUUCCUUUAGGGCCAUAUAUUUUGUGGCCUGAUAUCGACAUAAGAUCAAUGUUCAUUUUAUUUACAUCAAUAGGGAUUUUCCCAAUGGCUUGUGCAGCA